GAUGAAUGCUGUUCCUCUGGUCUGGUGGAGUCGGAUGUUCGAUGCUCCUACGUAUUCUGCAACCAAGAACAGUACAGGAGUUAACACAUAUUAUAAGCAGCCGUACCUUGAAUCCUGCCGAUCCUGCCCCUCUGGCCAGGUGGAAUCAGACAGAUGAAGCACGGCAAUAACUCAUUUUCAACAAUUUACUCACUGAUUUCAUAUAGCUCAAUGGCAAUGACACGUCCGACGGGCGCGAUAGUUGGUGACGUUGGUGACCAACUGAACAGGACGCGUCCGAAAUUCGGACUCCGAAUCCGAAUUCCUGUGUAUAAUAAUAAAAUAUAAAUUAUUAUAAUAUACUAUUUACUGUAUCACUAAAGACACUAAAUACAUAUGUAUAAUCAUUCAA